CUUAAGAGAUAUGAAUGGAUAAGAAACGUGAAUCACAACUCAUUCCUAAAGGCAUAUGAUGAGGAUUCAACGUAAAGGUUGUAUGUUACAACCGAAAGUCAUAUGAGCAAUGCCCAAGGCCUUCAACAAUUUAAAUUAUUGUGAGAUUCUGCAAUAUUAAGGGAAUACAGUGUAAUCUUUCUCAAGAGAAUCGACUCAGGGCAUUCGACAGAUAGGACUCGGACAUCCGUCGCGGCCCAUCGGUUUGGCUCCUGACAUUUAUGGAUAAUAUGCAAUAUCAGUAAGCAGUUAUAUUUUGGUGUCCUUUUUUCUUCGAGUGCACAUGCAAUUUGUCAGAUUGAAAGAACAUUUCAAUAAGGUGUAUAGAUCUCGCAUGUAUCGCCUACACAGGGACAUAUUCACCCUAACACAAGGUAUUUCCCAUGUUUCUGCGUAUUUUCACAUCUGAAAAGUUCUCUGGGAUUAGUAUGAUGCUCUAAUGCCUCUUCCAUAUGAUUGUAAAAGGUCAAAGGAAUUCCUUGUGCAUCUUCGUUAUGAACGGUUGUAUCAAUUUCUCAUGAGCUUAAAUGAAGGUUAAAGUCAGGCUCACAGUCAAAUUCUCUUAAAAACACAUCUAUCUAAUGUGAUCAAGUAUAUGAUAUGAUUCUUCAAGACGAAAGUUAGAAAAUAGAAAAUGGUGGCCGAAGGUCAGUUUCAGAACAAUUGUGUAGAUCUCACUAACCUGUUUAUUGCUAAAGCGGGAUCCAAGUUCAAACCUAAGAGAAAUUAUAAUGCAUAGUGUGAUUAUUGUCAUAUAAGAGGAGGGCGAAUGUUACAAGCUGAUGAAAUGUAACUUUUGUAAGUUGACUGGGCAUCUGAAAAAGAAUUGCUAAAAAAUAAUAAGUUACCUGACAACAUUCAAAUCCAAGAGGAAGGCAAAUGCGGUACAAGAAAAUAAUCAACAGACAAAAGGAAAUUCUUCUGUUGUACCAGUCCUUACCCAGAAAUAGUUCAAUAUGUUUGUCUUUAUGAUGAAUAAAGUCUCCACUUCCGAGCCCAGGCAUAUAUGGUAGGUAAUACUACAUGCAUUAAGGAUGAUAAUCUUAGUUGGAUAGUGGAUAUUAGGACUACUAAUGAUAUGAUAAGUAAUCUCAAUUUCUUGAUUAAUGAUGUUAAAGUAGGAACCACAGUGAGUGUUCAGUUGCCAAUAGGGGAUUCUACGCAUGUGACAGAUGUUGGAGACUGUAUAUUAAUAGGAGGUAAUGUGAUCAAUGAUGUGUUAUGUGUGUCAGCUUCAGAUUCAACCUUUUGUCUGUAUCUAAAAUGACAAAAUCUAUGAAUUGUUAUGCUAUUUUUUUUUCGACUUCUUUAUUUUUCAAGACCUUUGCACUGGGAAAGUGAAGCUGACUGGUAAAGAAAAGGAAGGUCUAUAUGUUUUGGAAUCAAAGAGCAUAAGGGGAGCAGUUAAGCAUCGUAGAUCAAUGGAUGUGGAAAGGAUGAUCGAGCAAAAAAUUGGCAUAAAAAAUUAGCAGAUAUUCCUAUGGCGAUAUUGAGAAAACUUUCUAUUUUUUCUAAUAAGAGUGGUUUUUUCUUUGUA